rnacentral:lncRNA from 1 species
GCCCAGAAGUCGGACUACGACUGGAAGUACUGCAAGAAGAUGGUCGUCGGCGAGACCUACGAGGUCCACUGGCCCCACUCCGAGAUGGGUGCUUGCAACACCAAGUGGCAGUACCAGCUCCCCUUCUACGACGGUGUACUCUGCCGCCUCGGCGAGGAGGCCUACCCUGGCAAGGGCAAGUUUGGCCUCGGCACGGUUGGCGGGGUUGAACAACCCCUCUCCCUCCAAGGCCAGAUUGGCGUCCAGGCGCAGGUCUUCGUCGUUGUCAACGACGAGAACUACUACUACCCCGAUCUGCUCCGCGGUAUGAUCGUCACCAACGACGGUCCCGGCUCCAACACCGUCAUGGGUAAGGAGAUCACCGCUUACACUGGCUCCACCACUGGCACCUCCCGCGACAACACCAUCUGCUCCGCGUACGGUCCCGUCACCUGGCACGUCGACCGCAAGUGCCACCUCAUCUCCGCCUCCUCUUUCGACAAGAUGUGCAAGGACAUGCUCGACCAGGCUGACGACAUGUCUGAUGACAUCUACCCCCACGGCGCCCGCGAGCACGUCUCCGACGAACUCAGCGCCAACAACAGGGACG